CCGCGCACCCUCUAACCCUAGUGCGUCUGUUCCCCUCCCCCACUUCCCUCGUCCUCUCCCCUCUGCCUUAUCCGAAGCUGAGCGCCGCCAUGGUUGCAACCAGUGAAGCAUGCGGCCACCUGUGUCUCCGGCGUGCAGGAGCACGUCCAGGAGGUCCGCCGCGGCCGGAUCCGUCCGUUCCGGGGACUAGCUCAAGCCAGACCGCCUCGUACGCUCACCAUCGUCGUCUUCUUCGUCCCGUACGUCGUCGUCCGUCGUCGAUUACCGCCGUUCCGGUCAACCCCGACUCUCCCCGACCUCGCCACCGAGCUAGAUGUGAGCCCCUCCCCCAAAUCCCCCUUCUUCCCGCCUCGAUUCAUUGUCGUAGCCACCGUCCCCGAACUUGUCCGAGCUUCCGCGUACACGUACGCGUACGUGCGUGCUAGAGCCGCCACUGCUACGGUCUGCUCACUGCUGCUCCCUGGCCGCGCCCUGGGCCUUGCCCCGCGCCCGUCUGCGCGUGUGGCCACCGCGCCCCGGCCGUGUGCGCACAUCGCCCGUUGUUCCCGCGCUUGUCGCUACUGCUCUCUGCUCCUUGCUGCCGCUGCUCUAUGCUGUUGCUGCUACUCUACUUCUGCUGCUCGGCGGCUACAGCUGCUGCCUUGCCGCUGCUGUUGCCCUGUUGUUGCUGCCGCUCGGCCGCGUCGCUGCUGCUCGGCUGCGUGCGGCUGCUGCCCCUUGCACUACUCCGUUGCUUGGCUGCUUCGUUGCUGCUCCCGGUAGCUCCUGCCUGCUACUGCUCUAAGCUGAUGCGUGCUGUGUGUGUGUGUUCUGUAGGUGUGUGUGAUGUGUGUGCAGCAUUUGAGUGUGUGUGGCCGAUGUGCCAUGUGUGGGGCUGCCCCAAAAUUAGUUUAGGUCUAAUUUAAUUAGGUGGAUUAGUUUUAGGAUUAUUUUUGCUGUUUAGCUAGAUGUAUUAGUGCUAAGUUACUCUAGUAGUAUAUGACAUGUAGGCCCCUUCUAAAUAAGUUAGGUUUAUUUAUUUGUUUAGGUUUAUAGUCUAUGACAUGUGGGCCACACCUACCCUGUGACUAGUCAAAUUGACUUGGUCAAUUCGGUUUAAGCUAAAUAUAAUAAUUCAAGAAUAUUGAUAAAUCUUUGAAAAAUCUUAGAAAAUAAACAGUAUCUUGGAUGAAAAUGUUUUCUACAUGAAAGUUGCUCAGAACGACGAGACGAAUCCGGAUACGCAGCCCGUUUGUCCGCCACAUAUCCCUAGCAUAGCAAACAUGCAACCUUCCCCCUCCGAUUCAUCUAUCCGAAAACACGAAACACCGGGGAUGCCUUCCCGGAUGUUUUCCCCCUUCGCCGGUAUUACCUAUCCCUGCGUUAGAUCACCUCUAGCACCGUGUAUUGCCAUGUUAUGCUUUGUGAUUCUUUGAUUGCUCUAUUAUUUAUGGUGUUCCCCUCCGUUACUUCUUUCCGGUAGACCCCGAGACCGCUACCGGUACCCCUGUGAUCGACUACAUUGACGAUGAACCCUUCUUGACAGAGCAACCAGGCAAGCCCCCCCCCUUGAUCACCAGAUAUCGCCUAUUCUUCUCUAUAUUGCCUGCAUGAGAAGAGUGUAGCACGUUACUGACUUCGGUUAAUCCUAUUCUGCUGCAUAGUCUGUCAUUGUUGCUACAGUUGUUACCCUUACCUGCUAUCCUACUGCUUAGUAUAGGAUGCUAGUGUUCCAUCAGUGGCCCUACACUCUUGUCCGUGUGCUAUGCUAUACUAUCGGGCCGUGAUCACUAGGGAGGUGAUCACGGGUAUAUACUAUAUACUUUAUAUACAUGACACAUGUGGUGACUAAAGUCGGGUCAGCUCGUUGAGUACCCGCAAGGGAUUCUGAUGAGGGGGCUGAAAGGACAGGUGGCUCCAUCCCGGUAGAGGUGGGCCUGGGUUCCUGACGGCCCCCGACUGUUACUUUGUGGCGGAGCGACAGGGCAGGUUGAGACCACCUAGGAGAGAGGUGGGCCUGGCCCUGGUCGGCGUCCGCGGAUACUUAAAAAUAACACGCUUAACAAGAUCUUGGUAUUUGAUCUGAGUCUGGCCACUGGCCUAUACACACUAACCAACUACGCCGGAACAGUUAUGGGCACUCGAUGUCGUGGUAUCAACCGAAGCCUUCGUGACAUCAGCGACGGAGCGGCGUGCGCCGGAUUGGACUGGAACGCCUACUAGGCUAGGUCUGCUUCCGGCCGCCCUCGCAACGUGCAAGUGUGCAAUGGGCGAUGGGCCCAGACCCCUGCGCCAUAGGAUUUAGACCGGCAUGCUGACCUCUCUGUUGUGCCUAGGUGGGGCUGCGACAUGUUGAUCUUCCGUGGCCGGGCAUGACCUAGAAAAGUGUGUCCGGCCAAAUGGGAUCGAGCGUGUUGGGUUAUGUGGUGCACCCCUGCAGGGAAGUUUAUCUAUUCGAAUAGUCGUGUCCCUCGGUAAAAGGACGACCUGGAGUUGUACCUUGACCUUAUGACAACUAGAACUGGAUACUUAAUAAAACACACCCUUCCAAGUGCCAGAUAUAACCCGGUGAUCGCUCUCUAACAGGGCGACGAGGAGGGGAUCGCCGGGUAGGAUUAUGCUAUACGAUGCUACUUGGUGAACUUACCAUCUACUCUCUCCUACAUGCUGCAAGAUGGAGGUGGCCAGAAGCAUAGUCUUCGACAGGAUUAGCUAUCCCCCUCUUAUUCUGGCAUUCUGCAGUUCAGUCCACCGAUAUGGCCCUUUACACAUAUACCCAUGCAUAUGUAGUGUAGCUCCUUGCUUGCGAGUACUUUGGAUGAGUACUCACGGUUGCUUUUCUCCCUCUUUUCCCCCUUUCCAUUCUACCUGGUUGUCGCAACCAGAUGCUGGAGCCCAGGAGCUUGACGCCACCGUCGUCGACGACUCCUACUACACUGGAGGUGCCUACUACUACGUGCAGGCCGCUAACGACGUCCAGGAGUAGUUUAGGAGGAUCCCAGGCAGGAGGCUUGCGCCUCUUUCGAUCUGUAUCCCAGUUUGUGCUAGCCUUCUCAAGGCAAACUUGUUUAACUUAUGUCUGUACUCAGAUAUUGUUGCUUCCGUUGACUCGUCUAUGAUCGAGCAAUUGUAUUCGAGCCCUCGAGGCCCCUGGCUUGUAUUAUGAUGCUUGUAUGACUUAUUUUAUAUUUAGAGUUGUGUUGUGAUAUCUUCCCGUGAGUCCCUGAUCUUGAUCGUACACGUUUGCGUGUAUGAUUAGUGUACGAUUGAAUCGGGGGCGUCACAAGUUGGUAUCAGAGCCGACUGCCUGUAGGAAUCCCCCUUUCCAACUCCUUGGCCGAAGUCGAGUCUAGUCAUUGAAAAACUUUUACUAACAUGGCUGUGUGGCUUACGGGGCCACGUCGCCAUUGGGUGGUAUUAGGAUCUUUUACUCCUUGUCUAUACUCUGGGACUCUGAUCUCUCUUCUAUUCGGGUUAAAUGAAUUUUGCUAAAUCUAACAUUAGGAUCUCGUUAUCACUUUCACCCGGAGAGCCCCUUAUUACCGAUGAUCGUCUGCUGCACGUGAAGACCCUGAAGACACUCUCCGCUGUUAACCCGAGAACUUGUGUUCAUCGCUUUUGCAAUUCCCUUCCAUCGAUAAACUCCUAUGGAUAACCAUGUAUACUCGCCAUUCAUAAAAUGUUUCCCAGUUGAUCUUGUUAUUACGAGAUACCCCAAAAUUCUCUCUGUUGUUACGAGAAUCCUUUGAGCUUACUGCCUUGCUGUUCUUUGUCACCUGAAUACCCCUACGGAUAAUUCUCGCACUUACUGAGUAUCCGCUCAUCCCCAGUUGAUUCAAGUAUUUCACAAAAGUGUUCAAAAUACCAUUCGAUCUUCCGAAAAUCCUGAGGAGCCUUUUUGCUCUUGAAAUUCUUGCUUACUUCCAUUAUGAUUAACCUUAAGUCUCGUAAUCUUAUUGGCAUCUCUUGUCAUUAUCAUUUUGAGUCCGUUGAUUAAAUUUGUUGCGAAUGCUCGCAAUCCUCAAUCAGAUCCUAGAAUUCAUCCUUCCGGCUCAGACGUCAUGUGAAGCGUGAGCUGGUUCUCGCCAAUCAAAUUGUCGUCGAUUGUGCCCCUAUGUCUAUUGAACUUAUCCAUCCUUGAUCAGAGCGUCUGUUUUGAUCCUUCACUUUGUAAAUCAUAAUUCCUUUGCAAUUGAGCUCUAAGUUACUUAGUUGUUUCUAUAAUCCAAGGUCUUUGCAUUGAUUCUUCCUCUGGUUGUGUGCCGAUACUCACAUCAGAUCCUUUAUGGACCAUCAGAACCUUGUUGGAUUUUAUCCGACAACGUCCUUCAUAUUCAAUCACUUCGGAAGUUCUCUCCCUGAUACAUAAUGCCUUUGGUAAAUCCUAUUCCUUAUUUGGCCAACCAUGCUCUGCUUUCGAGCUGGUGAUAUUUACUAUUGAAGCUUGUGAUAUAUGUUUCCACGAUGCCCCGAUGGGUUGAACCUAUGCCUUCCAUAAUAUGUGUGAACUCGAAAGUUUUCAUGAGUCAUACUCUUCUGGUAUUUUGCCAGAUAAAAUUUUCAACACUGCAACUUCAUCAAACGCGAGAAGUGAAUGAAAGGUUAUGCAUUGAAGAAGUGGGAGUCGACCUUGAACUUUUCGUUCAUGCCCAUGGACACGAUGUAGAUCUUAUCAUGGAAGCUUCUCGCAAAAUAGUUACCCCCUUGUUAUAAGUGCUUGUAUUGUAUCUGUGGUUUGAUCAUUUACAAAUGUGGUUCUGACCAUAUUGUUCCCCUUUGAAUCAAUUUCUCAGACAAGUUAAAACCACUUGUCCUCUAUAGAUCAAUGCACCAGUCCAACCUUUACUUUGAUCUUUUGUCGAGUAUUACACCCUAGUAUCUCGAGAUUAUCACGGAACUGCAUAACUUCUUAUGAGUUCUCCAUCAAGUACUAUAUUCUCACUGAUUCCAAAUAUUUUUUCACGGGCUCUUGGUCAUUAAACACUGAAGAAACACCGAUAACUGAAUCGAGUCUGCAUCAUGAUUAAACAACUGUUAGUAGUCUUCUUUGCUUACGAGUUUAAUACUCCAUCAUGUCAUUCCUAGCCUGAUCGCUACAUCAUUAUCGUGCUAAAUUUAACUAUGCUACCUGGUUCUUCUUCUCGGAGCACAAAAUUCGACGAUGAGCUAAUCUUACGACGAUCUUUCUCCUCAUAUCAUUUCUCCUUGAACAGCAAACUUGAUUUCAAGUUUGUGUCGUACCCAUGGUUCCAAUAACCCUUUGCUUCAUCAUUCCUUUGACUUGAUGUCAUCACCGACCGAUUACAUCUUCAUGAAACCUCUUGACAAAUGUGUCGUGAUCAUAAUCAACAUUCUGAGCGUUUCCAGGAUAUCAAUCGAAUUCAUGAAGAGAAAUACCAUCCUUGCCCUCGAUGAGUUGUGUUAUCAUCGGCCACUUUAUUGCCUUCCCUCCAACACAAAAUUGUUUGUGUUUGUGUUAUACGUUGAGUUCCUUGCUACCCAGCAUUGUUCUUCUUUACCUUGGAGUAUUACCACCUUUUAUGUCAAGAAUGUCGUGGGAAUUUCACCACCUCUUAAGAAUUCUUGGUAUAGUGAUACUUCUCACCAUCACCAUUCUUUCUUGGUCCUCGUGUUGAUUCCAACGGGGGUACCAACAAGUGAACGAUGCUGUUUGGAUUCUGCCCUUCUAGCAACCUUAUUGCUUUGAAGUUAAUGGUCGACAUUCCAUUCUUAGGCCAUCGGUUAUCGAAUCACCAUUCUAACAUCGGUGAUGCUACCAGAGCUCAUAUUUUGGGCACACCUUUCAACUAGUGAUUGAUGAUGUAUGUUUUUCCUCGAGCAUACAACAUUAUAUCAUUUGAAUUGACAAGUGUCAUCUUCUUGUUCACAUUAUUGUGGAAAUCCAUCCGUUUGGAAUUCUUGAUGAAUUGUCAUUUAGUUCAUCAGCCACCCCCUCAUCCUCUCCUUGGUUUACUGAUGAACUCUUGUUUCGGAACUCGCUUCCAUAGUUCAUUUCCCGAGAAUCUUAUAAUGUCUUCUCAUCAAUUUGUCGCACCUUUUUCUUCUCAGGCAUCCCGAGUCUGAGGUAUCCUGACACCAAUCAGAUCUGAAUCUCGGUUAGAUAUGAUGGUUGGAACAUACUUUCAAGAGUUAUAACAUUGGUCCUCUUAUGACUCGGUAAGGUGAUGUCAUGCCUAGCACACCUGGCUGGAGGACCUAGUGUUAUAGUUUCCUUUUUAACAAGGUUAACCAUUCUUCCAUGAGGAAAUUGAAUGACUUGUUUAAUAAGUUUUUCCUAAUGGAUCCUUUGUGUAUCCAAGGUCUUACCUUUGCUUGAAGACCUUGUCAAAGCUAUGUCGAAGCAUGUCUGUGUUACUCCGAUCUUCAAUAAGAACAUUUGAAGCAAAAUGCUAUCUUUUCUUUAACAAUUAUCCAAAACACCGUUGUAUGGGUAUUGUCAUGAAAUUACUCUCCCCUUAUCUAAAGGGUUUUCUACAUUAUAUCCUGUCACGGAUAUCAUGCUCCGCUUGUCCUUGGGAAGGAUAUAUCCCUGAAAUAUGUGCUUAAACACAUUUUCCUUUCCAUUGUUCUGUUUACUCUGAUAAUCAUAUUUUCCUUUCCAUUGUUUGGUUUAACCUUUCUUGAGGUCUAUAUGAUCUAAGCAGUAAUAUUCUUCUGCUUAUGUAAACACCUUGGUGUACAACCAUGUCAGUAAGUCCAUGUUGCUUUUGUUGAUGGCAUUCUGGUAACCACCGAUGGACGAGAACUUUGCCUAUUGGUCCGCCUCGUUUCAACGAGCAGGAAAAUGGUUCUCUUCGUCCCUCGCCCUUGGUACCAACGUUGUUAUUGACAUAUAACUGAUAGGCUAACCUCGGACAUGCCUUGCUUACAUGAUCGUGCAAGACGUCAUCGCCCUUCCUACUUUUAACCCACAUGGUGGGCCCAUAACCCACAGUUCCACAGGAUCGAAACCUGACUCUCCUGUACACCCUGUUUCCAAAGAUAUUCCUCACGCUUGGCUUCGUAUGUAAUUCACGAGCCACCUUCCCUGUGAUCAUCAAUUCUGGUAUUAGACACAAUACUUAUUCCCGUUGCCUUGAACCCCUUUCACACUCUGUUUCAGGCAGCGAACGAUUGUCUAUCCGCUCGAAACUUCUCAUGAUACCUCCUCACUUUGCUCUCGAUAAUGUCUAAGGUUUCAAUUCGAGAGUUACUUUCCGCCACCUUCCCUGAUGUUAUAUGCUAGAUAAGCAAACAUUGUAGAGGUCCGUUCUCCCGGAAUACCCACCCUUUAUUCUUUCGUAAGUACGAUGGAGUUCCCGAAGAAAGGACGACGACUUCAUCAUGAUGAGACAUCAACCAAAGGAUUAACUUCUUCGAGAAGAUCCAUUAGAGUAUCGUAACCAGAACUUUCCCCCUUACUCCCCUCUUAAAUCUCGGGACGAGAUUUCUUGUAGUGGAGGAGAAUUGUGACGCCCGGGUAAUUAAGCUACAGUAACCAUCUGCUAAUGACGCCACGUCACUUCGAUUACUAUUGAUAAUCUCGCGUCAGUUCGAAACCGAUUCAAAUUCAAAUUCAAAAUCAAGCAAACAACAAAACUUUUCAAAUAGUAAAACUAAAAUGUUCGGAGUGAACCAAAUAUAGCAUAGGUAUUUAAUUACUAUAAGAUGAAUAAAACAACAGUAAAAAAUAUAUUUAAAUCCAUUUUGUAAUUAAUAAAAUGUCAAACUAAUUUAUUUGAGGAUUAGACUUUUUGUGACCAUGGACUAAGUUGAAAUACUAAUUUAGAUGCUACGUGUUAAUUUUACUAAAACUAAAAUUAAUAGGAAAUUAAGCUAAAAUAGUGUAAAGCAAAUAAAAAAACAAAGACAAAAAAAUAAACUACAAGCAAAAGAAAUCCCCCCUCCCCCGCUGGGCCUCGGCCGCGCUGGCCACUCGGCCAACCAGGCCGACCCAUCUAGCUAGCGUCCCCUUCCUCCUGUUCACGGGGGGGAUCAUGGCAGAGAUCCCCCGGCUGUGGCCGAGGCAUGUCGCCGUGGCAACCAUCCUCCCUCUCCCACGGCGCCUACUUGAUGCCCCCGAGAACCCUCUAACCCUAGUGCGUCUGUUCCCCUCCCCCACUUCCCUCGUCCUCUCCCCUCUGCCUUAUCCGAAGCCGAGCACCGCCAUGGUUGCAACCAGUGAAGCACGCGGCCACCGGUGUCUCCGGCGUGCGGGAGCACGUCCAGGAGGUCCGCCGCGGCCGGAUCCGUCCGUUCCGGGGACCAGCUCAAGCCGGACCGCCUCGUACGCUCACCAUCGUCGUCUUCUUCGUCCCGUACGUCGUCGUCCAUCGUCGAUUACCGCCGUUCCGGUCAACCCCAACUCUCCCCGACCUCGCCACCGAGCU
rnacentral:lncRNA from 1 species